CCUACGGGAGGCAGCAGUGAGGAAUAUUGGUCAAUGGCCGGAAGGCUGAACCAGCCAUGCCGCGUGAAGGUCAGUGCCCUAUGGGCGUUAAACUUCUUUUGUGCGGGAGCAAUAAUGGUCACGUGUGGCCUGACGAGAGUACCGUACGAAUAAGCAUCGGCUAACUCCGUGCCAGCAGCCGCGGUAAUACCGGGGAUGCAAGCGUUAUUCGGAUUUAAUGGGUUUAAAGGGUUCGUAGGCUGUGUGGUAAGUUAGCGGUGAAAUGUCCGCGCUCAACGGGGUGAAGUGCCAUUGAUACUGUCUGGCUAGAAUACGGAUGCGGUAGGAGGAAUGUGUGGUGUAGCGGUGAAAUGCAUAGAGAUCACACAGAACACCGAUUGCGAAGGCAUCUCACGAAUCCGCGAUUGACGCUGAUGCACGAAAGCGUGGGUAUCAAACAGGAUUAGAUACCCUUGUAGUC
rnacentral:rRNA from 1 species